AAACCUUCAUGGUGUGACUUAUUAAUUUGAUACCCCUAUAAUUGUUGCAGCACUGGAUGUCCCCUUUGUUCUUGUACAAGGGCACCACUGUACUCCAUAUCCACUCAUCCGGCAUCCUUUUGGUCCUGAAGAUCGCAUUGAACAACCUGGAUAGCCACUCCCCCCCAGACUUACUCAUGCACUUCCAGAACUCCACCGGGAUCUCGUCCGGCCCGGUCGCUCGACCCCUAAUCAUCCUACGCAAAGCUCCCAUGACCUCCUCCUUCCUAAUGCGCCUGCAGUACCCAAGGUCCCUAUGACGCUCUGAAUGCCCCAGCUCCCCUAGCUCUAUGUUACGAUCCCCCACCUCGUUAAGUAAGUNNN
rnacentral:lncRNA from 1 species